CAUACGUAUUUUUGGGGUCGUAGACUUGCUUAUACUAUUUUUGGGGUCGUAGAUUUCCUUAUACUAUUGGAACACCCAAAGUCCAAAAGAUAAGAUGCAAGACCUCCUAGAACAGUUAGGCUUGUUAACUCGAGCUACAGGUCCUGCCAAGAUGCAUAGUUAGAGGAAUUGAAAAUCAGACUGAGGCCUGAAGGUGGAAUCACCAGAGAGGAUUCAACUACAAGUUCGUCAUAAUUCAGGAGCAGAGAUAGCUAAAGGCAAUGCAAGAGGAACUGCUGGAGGAACAAAGCUGUACAAUCGCCUGAUCCGGCUAGGAACGAGACCAGGAAAGGGGAAACUGCCCAACGACGAGGGCACCACGAGCGAGCAUAAGACGACCCAACCGACCCACCUUGCCCGGGAUUGCGCAGGUCGCCCCAAACGCAGCUUCAAAAAUCAUUAGAACGUCUAGAGAUUUGGAUUUCCGAAGGAAAAAUUAAAGGCUUAUGUUUUGCUACGAGGAUGAGGUAUUCUCUCUACCUUUUCACAGGUUAGGCAGUUGAACAACACCGCAGUGAACUUUGUUCGAAAUACUAGUUGUUUUAUUCAAUUUAAGUAUAUAUGCUUUUGUUGUUUCCACUGAAAUCCAUCUCUCCCGACAUACUAGCUUCUGAGAAAAAACACCAUACAACAUAUUUUUUUGGGUCUCCCUAUAACUCUCAGGAAUUUAUUUGCCUGUUUUGAUCCAUCAUUUCAUUUACUACAAAAGCAAGAUAUUUCCAUCGUUAUGCGGAUCUUUGUAUAUGAUUACAUCUUUGAAAAAUAAUAUCGGAGUUGAAACGUAAAAUGGGCGCGAGUAGAAUCAUUCCGAAGGAACUUCGCUGAGGGAGUUCACCACUGCAGCCUGUUUCCUUGGAGCAUAUGUCUUGUUUAGGUACUUCCAACUCUAAGAACUUCUACUUCAUGUGUGCUUUGUGACUCUCCUCCUGAGAUAUGCCAUCUGACUGGAUAUUGCUUUUGGCUCAAGCUUUAGUUAGCAUUUUCUUCAAAAAGGUAAUAAAUCAAAGAGUUACGAGUUCCAGAAAAUUCGAGAAACAUUCUAAUAUAUAAAUUUUCUAAUAGACUAUGAAUCUGCAAUUUUUCAUUGAAAAUCGUUUGCGGUCUUGCACAAAAACAAAAAAAUGUGAUUAUCUGCGAUAGCAGGUACUAUUGCUAUCGUUUGCUGUUUUAGAUCACUGUAUUUAUGUUUUCUCAUGUCGGACAGAUUUGAAAAGAUUUUUCACACAGAAUUGUGUGGAAUGAUAGUGUGUUCUAACGUGUACAUUCCAGAUUAUUUUCGGAACUACAAAUAUAUCUUUUUACCAUUUUUUCGACCUUUACAUGCUUGUCAUUCAGUGGGAUACAGUGAGUAUCUUACAUCUUUUGGGAUUCGCCAGCGUCCUGCCCCAUGGGACAUGCCCAACAACGAGCCGACCUCAUUAAUUACCUGAUGACAAAUUUUACCGGAUUUCCCAGUCCUUUGCUUUCUUGUCUGCAUAAGGUGGUCCAAUCCAAUGGUCGGUAUACAGUGAAUCCUUGGUAUAGCAAUAACUGAAUUAUCAAUAUUUCAUUAUUCUCCGAAGGGAUCCUGAUGUACACAAACUAUGUGAUGUGUAGGAUAUUGAUAGCCCUGUACUGAUAAUUCCUAUCGUAAUUUCUCAAGUUCUCCUAUGUAUGCGCUUAGAGAUUUGCUCAGUUCCAUUUUCCCAAAUGUUUUUCUUCAUCAAAAUUGAUUGGUAGCACUAUUUUACCAUCUUUUCGUGCUUUCAACUUCUGUUCAAUGUGAUACGACAUAUGUAAUCUCUGAGCUGACUACCAAUAUCCUAUGCAUUCUGUCCUGCACAUAAAUUGUGGCACCACAUGUGAACUAUUAAUUCCAUUUUUGUGUUAUGAAUUUGAAGGUGCAAGCUUGUAGUCACCUAUUGUAUGUGAAGGUCAAUAUGAUUAUUAACUGUGUGGAAAUAUUGUUCAACUGCUAGUCUAAGUACAAUUUGCAUGUCUAUAUUCUUAGCAGGGUACUCCAUCUUAUGCACAGUUUAUCCCAGUUGUAGAUAUUUUCUCACCUAUACUUUUGCUCCAAGUGGUUGAUGUAUUGUUUGCCGCUUGGAGAUUCAUUGAAAGGCUUGUUAUUAAAUUACAAGAUGGAAUUGUUAGUGAAAGAUAUAUUUUUGUCUCAUCAAAGAUUGAUGAGUUGCUUAUGAUAGUACAAUAUGGUUCAAGGUUCUAAAUGCUCUUUGUUUUCUCAUUUCAUUACCUCCUCCUUGUACAGUAAAAGCUGUAUAUUUAUGACAGGAAUUAUGACUGGAGUCUCAUUUGGUUAAUUUCUACUGUUGUUCAAGCUCAUUAUUGACGAAGAUGGCAAAGAGGAAUAAGCACAUUUAUUCUAUACAAAUAACAUUGGAAUGGGAUAGGAGGACAAGGAAUAUCCGGACGCGGAUCCAUGGAUCCAGUAGGGGCCAGCUGGACUACGCGCUCCAGGCCAUCCAGCGGACAGAAGAGGAAGGGAAGGGAAGGGGGGAGCUCUUUUGUCGCGACAAAAGCCAUCGCGAAAGGGAUGCCGGUAAAGGAGGGGAGCUCUUUCGUCGCGACGUGCUCAGUGGGUCGUUUGCUAAAUCCCUUGUAAUUUUGCUCCGCAACAAAGUGAUAUCUGAACUUCGUGCCUUACCAGGUCAUCUCUCAUAUAGGUCUAAAGAAACCUAAUUACACGGAAAUUGCACUCGGUAAUGCUUGUUGUUAGCUAGUUAAAUGACUAGGUAUUCCUCUGGAUCCAUUCUAGCUAUGUAAACUGACUUGUGUACUUAUGAAGUAUAUCACUCGACACGUUACUUUA